AAUCAACGCUGGCGGCGUGCCUCAGACAUGCAAGUCGAACGAUUAAGACUCCCUUCGGGGAGUGUAUAAAGUGGCGCACGGGUGAGUAACACGUAGGUAAUCUACCUUUGAGUGGGGAAUAACAAUCGGAAACGAUUGCUAAUACCGCAUAAUGCAGCGGCACCGCAAGGUGACAGUUGUUAAAGGAGCAAAUUCGGCUUAAAGAGGAGCCUGCGGCAGAUUAGCUAGUUGGAAGGUAAUGGCUUACCAAGGCUACGAUCUGUAACCGACCUGAGAGGGUGGUCGGUCACACUGACACUGAAUAACGGGUCAGACUCCUACGGGAGGCAGCAGUCGGGAAUUUUGGGCAAUGGGCGAAAG
rnacentral:rRNA from 1 species